CUGACACAGGGAGGUAGUGACAAUAAAUAACAAUGCCGAGCCUCUUCGAGGUUUGGCAAUUGGAAUGAGAACAAUUUAAAUCCAUUAUCGAGGAUCAAUUGGAGGGCAAGUCUGGUGCCAGCAGCCGCGGUAAUUCCAGCUCCAAUAGCGUAUAUUUUAGUUGUUGCAGUUAAAAAGCUCGUAGUAGAAUUUCUGGUGGGGGAAUGCAGUUCAAGCUAUGCUUGAUACUCGCACUCUCCGGCCAUCUUUGAGUGGAGCCUGUCUGGCAUUAAGUUGUCGGGCUGGGGAUGCUCAUCGUUUACUGUGAAAAAUUGAGUGUUCAAAGCAGACUUAUGUCGUUGAAUAUAUUAGCAUGGGAUAAUAAGAUAAGACUUCGGUACUAUUUUGUUGGUUAGGUGCCGUUGUAAUGAUGAACAGGGACAGUUGUGGGUAUUCGUAUUCACUUGUAAGAGGUGAAAUUCUUAGAUUAAGGGAAGACGAACUACUGCG
rnacentral:rRNA from 1 species